UACGGAGGGGGUUAGCGUUGUUCGGAAUUACUGGGCGUAGAGCGCGCGUAGGCGGAUUAGAAAGUUGGGGGUGAAAUCCCGGGGCUCAACCUCGGAACUGCCUCCAAAACUGCUAGUCUAGAGUUCGAGAGAGGUGAGUGGAAUUCCGAGUGUAGAGGUGAAAUUCGUAGAUAUUCGGAGGAACACCAGUGGCGAAGGCGGCUCACUGGCUCGAUACUGACGCUGAGGUGCGAAAGUGUGGGGAGCAAACAGG
rnacentral:rRNA from 1 species